rnacentral:rRNA from 1 species
AAUGUAGCAAUACAUUCAGUGGCGAACGGGUGAGUAACGCGUGGAUAAUCUACCUACGAGAUGGGGAUAACUAUUAGAAAUAGUAGCUAAUACCGAAUAAGGUCAAUUGAGGUGUUAAUUGAUGAAAGGAAGCCUUUAAAGCUUCGCUUGUAGAUGAGUCUGCGUCUUAUUAGCUAGUUGGUGGGAUAAGAGCCUACCAAGGCUAUGAUAAGUAACCGGCCUGAGAGGGUGAUCGGUCACACUGGAACUGAGAUACGGUCCAGACUCCUACGGGAGGCAGCAGCUAAGAAUCUUCCGCAAUGGGCGAAAGCCUGACGGAGCGACACUGCGUGAACGAAGAAGGUCGAAAGAUUGUAAAGUUCUUUUAUAAGUGAGGAAUAAGCUUUGUAGGAAAUGACAAAGUGAUGACGUUAAUUUAUGAAUAAGCCCCGGCUAAUUACGUGCCAGCAGCCGCGGUAAUACGUAAGGGGCGAGCGUUGUUCGGGAUCAUUGGGCGUAAAGGGUGAGUAGGCGGAUAUGCAAGUCUAUGUGUAAAAUACCACAGCUCAACUGUGGAACUAUGCUGGAAACUGCAUGACUAGAGUCUGAUAGGGGAAGUUAGAAUUCCUGGUGUAAGGGUGGAAUCUGUUGAUAUCAGGAAGAAUACCAGAGGCGAAGGCGAACUUCUAGGUCAAGACUGACGCUGAGUCACGAAAGCGUAGGGAGCAAACAGGAUUAGAUACCCUGGUAGUCUACGCUGUAAACGAUGCACACUUGGUGUUAAUCGAAAGGUUAGUACCGAAGCUAACGUGUUAAGUGUGCCGCCUGGGGAGUAUGUUCGCAAGAAUGAAACUCAAAGGAAUUGACGGGGGCCCGCACAAGCGGUGGAGCAUGUGGUUUAAUUCGAUGAUACGCGAGGAACCUUACCAGGGCUUGACAUAUACAGGAUAUAGUUAGAGAUGACUAUUCCCCGUUUGGGGUCUGUAUACAGGUGCUGCAUGGUUGUCGUCAGCUCGUGCCGUGAGGUGUUGGGUUAAGUCCCGCAACGAGCGCAACCCUUAUUGUCUGUUACCAGCAUGUAAAGAUGGGGACUCAGACGAGACUGCCGGUGAUAAGCCGGAGGAAGGUGAGGAUGACGUCAAAUCAUCAUGGCCCUUAUGUCCUGGGCUACACACGUGCUACAAUGGCCUGUACAAAGCGAUGCGAAACAGUGAUGUGAAGCAAAACGCAGAAAGCAGGUCUCAGUCCAGAUUGAAGUCUGAAACUCGGCUUCAUGAAGUUGGAAUCGCUAGUAAUCGUAUAUCAGAAUGAUACGGUGA